UACGUAGGGUGCGAGCGUUAAUCGGAAUUACUGGGCGUAAAGCGUGCGCAGGCGGUUCGUUAAGUUCGUUGUGAAAGCCCCGGGCUCAACCUGGGAACUGCAAUGGAAACUGGCGGGCUUGAAUGCGGCAGAGGGGGGUGGAAUUCCGCGUGUAGCAGUGAAAUGCGUAGAGAUGCGGAGGAACACCGAUGGCGAAGGCAGCCCCCUGGGUCGACACUGACGCUCAGGCACGAAAGCGUGGGGAGCAAACAGG
rnacentral:rRNA from 1 species